rnacentral:rRNA from 1 species
AACGAACGCUGGCGGCAGGCCUAACACAUGCAAGUCGAACGAAGUCUUCGGACUUAGUGGCGGACGGGUGAGUAACACGUGGGAACGUACCUUUUGGUUCGGAACAACUCAGGGAAACUUGAGCUAAUACCGGAUGAGCCCUUAGGGGGAAAGAUUUAUCGCCGAAAGAGCGGCCCGCGUUAGAUUAGCUAGUUGGUGAGGUAAAGGCUCACCAAGGCUACGAUCUAUAGCUGGUCUGAGAGGAUGAUCAGCCACACUGGGACUGAGACACGGCCCAGACUCCUACGGGAGGCAGCAGUGGGGAAUCUUGCGCAAUGGGCGAAAGCCUGACGCAGCCAUGCCGCGUGAAUGAUGAAGGUCUUAGGAUUGUAAAAUUCUUUUACCAGGGACGAUAAUGACGGUACCUGGAGAAAAAGCCCCGGCUAACUUCGUGCCAGCCGCCGCGGUAAUAC